rnacentral:rRNA from 1 species
ACCGAACGCUGGCGGCCGGCUUAACACAGGCAAGUCGAGCGCCCCGCAAGGGGAGCGGCAGACGGGUGAGUAACGCGUGGGAACGUACCCUUUGCUACGGAAUAGCUCCGGAAAACUGGAAUUAAUACCGUAUGUGCCCUACGGGGGAAAGAUUUAUCGGCAAAGGAUCGGCCCGCGUUGGAUUAGCUAGUUGGUGGGGUAAUGGCCUACCAAGGCGACGAUCCAUAGCUGGUCUGAGAGGAUGAUCAGCCACAUUGGGACUGAGACACGGCCCAAACUCCUACGGGAGGCAGCAGUGGGGAAUAUGUGUCAGUGGGCGCAAGCCUGGUCCAGCCAUGCCGCGUGAGUGAUGAAGGCCUUUGGGUUGUAAAGCUCUUUCACCGGAGAAGAUAAUGACGGUAUCCGGAGAAGAAGCCCCGGCUAACUUCGUGCCAGCCGCCGCCGUAACAC